CGAACGGGUGAGUAAUGCGUGACCAACCUGCCCCAUGCUCCAGAAUAGCUCUUGGAAACGGGUGGUAAUGCUAGAUGCUCCAACUUGACGCAUGUCUUGUUGGGAAAGUGUUUAGUGGCAUGGGAUGGGGUCGCGUCCUAUCAGCUUGUAGGCGGGGUAAUGGCCCACCUAGGCUUCGACGGGUAGCCGGCCUGGGAGGGCGGACGGCCACAUUGGGACUGAGAUACGGCCCAGACUCCUACGGGAGGCAGCAGGC
rnacentral:rRNA from 1 species